UUUUGUGUUUUUUUGUUUAAACAAAUGACGGCAUACCCACAGCCAAACUUAGUAUAAAAGGAAAAUUUUGAUACGAAAAAAUAUCAUUCAGUAAAAUGAAACUCCUCGCAAUAUUAUUGGUCGUGCUUGGUAUUUUCGUACACGGAAGCCUUCAGCAAGACUUCGGUCAGAGCUUUGGUUUCGAUAGUUUCGGAUUUGGAGGUGGCUGUGGAGGUGGUGAUGCUCAAUUAUUGUAUCAACUUAAGAAAAUUUUGUAUUUGAUAAAGUCAAGUGCUACUACAACGACGACGACGGCAGCGCCAUAUUAUGCAUAUGCAUAAGCAAUAUUGUCAACAGAUGUCGAUAGGAGUAACUCUAUGAUGGACAUGCAUUUUUGUUUGGAGGGGAGGAUCCAAUACUUUUGCCCGAUUUUUUGGUACAGAUUCGGGAAUUUUAGAAAUAAUUUUAAAAAAAUCAAAUCUAUUACAGAGUUACUACCGCAAUAAAAACUUUAUUACCUAUAACACCUGUCACAUGUGAAAAAUGAUUUUCUUUUCAAAAAUUUGUCGAUUCUGCGUGAACCAAAUAAACUUUUGUAAACAGAAAAA